rnacentral:rRNA from 1 species
AUGUCAUCUAUAAAUAAUAAAAACGUUUCACAAAGGGGAAUCUCUGCAUGGGCCGGCCCCGUAGUAACCUUUUAUAUUGUGCUCUGCGCGCUGGGAAAAGAAACAUCGCCUGUUCGGGCUGGCCCAUGUCCGGAUGGCCUGUUUUUUAGUUUUCGUAUUUUAUUUUCCCUUUUAUUUUCUGUCUUUGUUUUUUCUAAUUUAAAUAAUUUGGUAAUUAAAAAAAUUCGAAAAAAUGAGAAUUUUGAAAUAAAAUGUUUAAUAAUUCAAAAUGCUCGUGGACUCAGAAAAUGUGAUUUAAAAAAAUGUUCGCGCACUCAAAAUAUUCACAAUUUUCAAAAAAAUGUUCGAGAAAUAAAAAAAUGUUCAUGUUUUUUUAAAAAGUUCAUGUAUUCAAAAAAUUAA